CAUGGGGGGGUGGGUCCCUCAGCCUGGAUUGCUAGAGGGUGCAGGCCAGGCCGAGGGACCCCACUGGGGCAGG
rfam:Myotis brandtii contig232095, whole genome shotgun sequence.